rnacentral:rRNA from 1 species
GGGGUGAAAGCAGAACUGCGAUGGGGAAGCUUGCUCCUUGAUUAUCUGGGGAGGGGGGAAUAAUGCCUAGGAAUCUGCCUGGUAGUGGGGGACAACGUUUCGAAAGGACCGCUAAUACCGCAUACGUCCUACGGGAGAAAGCAGGGGACCUUCGGGCCUUGCGCUAUCAGAUGAGCCUAGGUCGGAUUAGCUAGUUGGUGAGGUAAUGGCUCACCAAGGCGACGAUCCGUAACUGGUCUGAGAGGAUGAUCAGUCACACUGGAACUGAGACACGGUCCAGACUCCUACGGGAGGCAGCAGUGGGGAAUAUUGGACAAUGGGCGAAAGCCUGAUCCAGCCAUGCCGCGUGUGUGAAGAAGGUCUUCGGAUUGUAAAGCACUUUAAGUUGGGAGGAAGGGCAGUAAGUUAAUACCUUGCUGUUUUGACGUUACCGACAGAAUAAGCACCGGCUAACUCUGUGCCAGCAGCCGCGGUAAUACAGAGGGUGCAAGCGUUAAUCGGAAUUUCUGGGGCGUAAAGCGCGCGUAGUGGUUCGUUAAGUUGGAUGUGAAAGCCCCGGGCUCAACUGGGAACUGAUCCAAAACUGGCGGGCUAGAUUCCGU